UCCUCUUUCUGCACCCUCUUUACUUACCGCUGUUAGCUACUAAAUGGUAUUUCCAUUGAGAUUUCGAGUGACUUAUUCAAUCACGACUAGACAACCACAGACCGGGAAGAAAUGCAUCUAAUUAGCGAUGUUUUUUUAUUUAUUAUCCUAAAGUAAACGUCCGAUACCUCUUUUAACAUAAAUAACUGGAUGAAAUCCCCAAGUGCCAAUGCAAUUUGGUACCAGUGAUUGACUGAUUUGACAAUGAUGACGUCGCAAUUAUGUGGUAUUGAUAAACCGUUUGGUUUGGGAGUUGGGAACAACCCCUUUUCUAUUGAUGUUAACGCCUUCCAAAGCUUGUACAGUCUGAAAUAUAAUUGAUGGAAGCGACAUCAUAAAAGUGAAAACGAAACGCCAAGCAUUCGGAGAGUUAAACCUAAAAGAUUCGAAGAAAAGGCUAUUUGUGGACGUGAGCUCCGGGAGGGAGAUGGAUCAGCCCCUCGACCACAAAAGACAUUUCUCCUCAGACAGAGAUCGCUGGAACAGAACGUGCCUGCUCUGUCUCCACUAUGCUUUUGUUAAUCUAGACUGCUUUAAACCAUCCUUCAAUGGGGAAACAUGUCUUAUUUUGAUCCAUCGCUUCUUGCCUGUCGAGUUAACAUAACCACAUUAAGCCUAUAAUACAUUAACUGCGUUUAACUGUCCUAAACUCCUCCUGUUAAAUAUCCCUUUAAGAUGUGCUCACUUCCAUCCCUGUCAGCCUCCAACUCUGAGCUUCAGCCGGGAGUUGAUAUUCUAUCUGCUGGUGUUUAUGAACGCAAAGGUAAAAAAGAUUGCCAUCCAGAUGUUUUUCAGGUCCUCCGGACAAUGCGCUGCACCCCGUAAUCUUAAACAGGAUUAAGAAGUCAGCCCUUAGCCAAGGACGUUCCUAGCAGAUGAUAUUCCUGUAACCGGGAAUCAAGAGAGGCUGGUAGUAAAUGGGUCUUUUUUAAAAAUACUGUUAUAAAGCAAUGGUUUAACAUGAGGAAAAAGUUCAUUUUGGUGGCUGGUGCUUCGUUAGAGAGUGUUUUAUUAACAUUUAAGUGGAGUUUUACUGUGUUCAUCAAUACACUGUAUCACAGAGCACGGGGUAUUUAACUUUGCAUGAAAUGUUUGACACAGAGUGAUGAGUGUUGAUGUCCGAUUUGGUAUUAAAACACUGGUUUAUGUAAA